rfam:Palleronia marisminoris strain CECT 7066 genome assembly, contig: 0002
AGCUUAUUUUGCGAUGAUCGAAGGCAGCAGCGGCAUCGCUUCAAGCGCUGCCUGAGAUGCUCGACCGCCGGUCGAAGUGAUGGUGUCGUUCAUCGACAUGCAUCGUGGGGAGCAUGGGGUCGAGCCGAUCUGCAACGUCCUGCCGAUUGCCCCG